CGCGUCCCGUGCCUCGCGCCCCCUCCCCUCUCAGCUCUUCCUCCUCAGUCGGAGGAGCGCGGGAGCCCUGCGUCACCGGGGCAGUCUUGUCUCCGCCCACAAUGGCAAUGUAGGGCGUGGCCAAGGGGCGGGCUUAGAGGGCAGGAGGAGGUGGAGAUUGAGGGAGGAGAGAGAAAGCGGACGCUGGCGGUUUGUUGCGUCGUGAUGUCAUCGAAGACCCUUUAUAUACAAGCGCCCGGUCGCCAUCUCGUUCUUUCGAAGUUGGAGUCUUCUUGUGGUGAAGUUUUGUUUUUGUUGGUGCUAAGUGGGUUAAUGGUUAGGAUCCUCGAUCCUCUAACCCUCUCAAGUGCGUACUAGGCUAGUCGCGCGUCUCUACAGAGCCCACAAGCAAUGAUGCUAGGCUUGGAUGCAGUGUGGCUUUCGGUAACGUUAUGGACAGCUGUGUGCCAAAAGAAUAAUGAGAGUACCUGUGGAGGUCCUAAAGAGCAAGAAUCAGUGUGGCUGUGGAUGCACAGGCGCUGGCAAGAAAGCUGGAAGUUGAAAUAGUGGAGUCUGAUUUGUCUGGACCAGCUUUAUUUUUUUACUACUGGUUACUCCUAUCCUGGGAUGGCUUACUUAGGGUAAGGCAAUACCUAGCAUUUUUGGUCUUUUAGUGGGGUCUCCUGUGAAAGCAAUUGGACAAAAGUUUGAAAAGCGGACAAACAGUACUAAAUCUCUGUAAUAAAAACAGCUUAAUAAAGUCAUUAAAUACAUAACUUAAAAAGCAAAAGUAUGAAUACUACUUUGUAAAGUAAAUGGUAUGACUUAGGCAAUGGGGCCUAAAGAAUACUUAUUUUAGGUGCAGGAUUUUGGAGACUUUAAGAAGCAUGGUCUCCUGUUUCCCACACUGUCCUUGAAUAGCCAGGACUGCAGGCGUGUUCUCCUGUAACCAUCGAGAACCUUUCAUGGUAUGUAUUUUAUUAGUCUUACAUGUUUAUUUGGCAAGAUGCUGUUAGUGAUGACUUACAGUAACAAUAGAUGGGAAUCUCUCUGAAAGAGAAUGAAGAUUAGUUUGGAACUGAAACAGCAACUGGAAAAUUAUUCAGAAAUCUACCUAUUAAGUACUUACUGCUCAAUUGAAAUAAAUUUCUGCAGGGGUGAAGAAAUCAACUUGACUACAGUGGAGCAGGUUUCAGAAGAGGUAUUGCAUUCUCAGUUGUUUUUAUUCCAGUAGUCUAAAGCCGAUACAAUGAUGAUAACAUAGUUCAGCAGACUAACACUGAUGAGCAGUAUUAUGUCUUUCGCUCCUAUCUGAUGUAUCUGGCUGUAAUAUUUCCAAUUUCCAUCCUUGAAGUGAAAUUUUAGCUACUUACCCGUCCUGUAGAAAAUAUUUUAGGGAUUUGGAUUAUCAUAGUUUGUACAGAUGUCUUAUUCUGUAUUGUUUCUUAAUUUCAGGAACAAGAAUUCAUGACUGGAGUACAGGUUAGUUUAAACUUAGUGUUGUGAGGAAGUUUUUAUGGCAUAUGUAUCUCAAUCUGGUUUGGAGUGAUUGAGCAGUUUUAAAAACUUGGAUGUGGAGGAAAAGGAAAUUGAGUGGAGCAAAAAUUAAAUAGAAUUAUUUUCCCUCUUUAAACAGGCAGAUCUUCUAAAAGUAUAAGAAGGUAAGUCUGUUUUUGGUACAUAGUUUAAUUGGAAAUGUAACCAAUGAUGUAAUGAUUCUGCCAAAUGAGAUAGAAUGAUAUCAGUUGUAAAACCGUUCCAUUUUGAUUCUGAGGUUACUAUAUUAGUAAGUAUCACACAGAAAUCUUUUUACCAUGGUUAAAAGGUAAUCUCUGCUUUUCAGGGAUUUUGUGACCACAGCAAGCACGCAACUUAAAAAGGUAAGGAUUGAAAAUAUUACUGGUGUCACUCAUCCCAGAAUACAUGAUGAUCUCAUGCCAACUUGAACUCUCUCACUGAUUACUUGAUGACAACAAAAGAUCUGAUAUUCUGCGCCUUUUCUAGGUGUCAAUCUUAAUUAAAGUCCAGAAACACGGCUAAAAGUAUCUUUUUGUUGCAGGUGCUUUGGAUGCUGAUAGAAGAUUAGACAGUGUCUUUGAAUAUUAAUAAAUAUCUGC